CCUACGGGGGGCUGCAGUGAGGAAUAUUGGUCAAUGGACGAGAGUCUGAACCAGCCAAGUAGCGUGAAGGAUGACUGCCCUAUGGGUUGUAAACUUCUUUUAUAUGGGAAUAAAAUGUUCCACGUGUGGGAUUUUGUAUGUACCAUAUGAAUAAGGAUCGGCUAACUCCGUGCCAGCAGCCGCGGUAAUACGGAGGAUCCGAGCGUUAUCCGGAUUUAUUGGGUUUAAGGGGAGCGUAGGUGGAUUGUUAAGUCAGUUGUGAAAGUUUGCGGCUCAACCGUAAAAUUGCAGUUGAAACUGGCAGUCUUGAGUACAGUAGAGGUGGGCGGAAUUCGUGGUGUAGCGGUGAAAUGCUUAGAUAUCACGAAGAACUCCGAUGGCGAAGGCAGUUCACUGGACUGCAACUGACACUGAGGCUCGAAAGUGUGGGUAUCAAACAGGAUUAGAUACCCUUGUAGCC
rnacentral:rRNA from 1 species